rnacentral:misc_RNA from 1 species
CUUCUCCCACCGUACUCAUUCUCUCUGUCUCUGUGAGAUUCAGGACCUUGGCCUUUUUAACUUUUAAGAAGAUGAUGAAUGAUUCAGAUAGGAUUGCAGUAGUGAGAACAUUUUGAUAUGUAUUGAGUCAGCAAUAUGAUCUUGGUACGUAUUCGUAUAGAAUCAUGUCCAGGUUGGAUGUAUCACAAAUCUCCAUAACGCCUCACCUUGGGCCGUUCAUCUCUUGACACCUGUCUCUUUCUUAUUAUCUUGUUUCUUACUUUAGACUUUUCGCGCUGU